CCCGGCGCUCGAGGUCCCCGGUGGGCGGAGCUGGGAGACCAAGGAACCUGCAGCCCAGGAAGCCAGAGCGGGCUAACCGGGACCCGCAGGACCCCAGGAUGUCAGGCCCGCCGAGCGCUGCCUCUGGAAACCUUGGGCGCCGCCCGUCCCAGGGAGCAGGGAGCUGGCCCCGAACCCCGCUCCCACGCGGGCCGGCCCCGGGCAGAGCCAGAGGCCCGAGGAGGAAGUGAGCUCUGCAGGGGUGGGACCUCCCGGCUCGGCCACCACCAGCGCCUCCGGCUCCUGGAUUUGCGGUCUUCCCGGAGGGGACGCGGGGCGCUCCGAGAGGUUGCCCAACUUGCCCAAGGUCACCCAGGAGCCGGCGCGGGCCGGGGCAGCGCUCGCGCAGGGGAGGCGGCCGCGGCCAGCCCCGAGGGCGAGGGCGAGGGCGAGGGCGAGGGCGAGGGCGAGGGCGAGGUCCCGGCAGCGCCGCCGCCGCGCCCGGGCCGCCCUCCGGGGCACCCUCGGGGGCACCCGCCGGGGCAGGGGGCGUGGAGCGCGCGCAGCCCGGCCCCGCCGGCCCGGGAGGAGGACGAUGCGCGGCGCGCGCAGGACCCUGUGGGCACUGAAAUCCAACUCACCCAUGCCUAUUUCCUGUAAUGGAUGAACUUGAUGCUAAUGUGAGGUAUAUUAUAUUUCUGUAUAUACUGUAAUUAUGCUACUGUAAGUUAUAGCCAUUUGAACUAUGAAACCUCUGAAAAAUCUGUUGUGGUAGAGUUACAAAUCCAGCAGAUGUGGAUUUUCUUCAGUGUUUCACAUGUAAUCAUGAAUGUGAUGUUUGAUUAUUAGAGGGUUUUUUUUUUUCAUUUCUGCUUAAGUGAUAAAUAUAAUAUGGCUGGAAAUAUUUCCAGAUGCUUAUAUUAAAAGUCUGCAUUAUGAGAGGCGGUAUAACAUGAAGAUAGAUAUUCAUCUGUAUAAUAGGAAGAAAGAAGAUGUAUUUAAAUGGGGGUAAAAAUAGCUUAAGAACAUCUCUCUGUACAUCUAAACUUUAGAUAUACAUUCAGAUAGCUUUGUAUAACAGGUUCUAGCCUGCCCACUUCUUUUUUCAACCAGGUUAUUAGAUUACAUGACAUGAUGGCUGCAUGGUAUAGUUACAUAAAGCUAAAUGGUUUGGUUUUGUUUUCCUGUCAUUUCCUGCAACCCUUGGAGAUCAGAUAAUAGGAUGGCUCCUAAGGAAGAUUUUCUCUGAAGGUUUGCUGCAUUUUAUUUGGCACAAUCAAAUAGUGUGAAGAAAAUUGUAUUCAAUAAAGCUUAAAUGUUAUGAGUUGGCAUUUGGGGCUGAGCUUCAGUCGUCCAUAUCAAUAAAUAUCUGGAAGACAUUCUGAAAAAAAUACAUUCCUGACACAAUCAUGGGAGCAGUACUUUUUGCACUUGAGACCUAUCAGAAAGCUUCUUUCUUUCUUUCUUUCUUUCUUUCUUUCUUUCUUUCUUUCUUUCUUUCUUUCUUUCUUUCUUUCUUCUUUCUUUCUUUCUUUCUUUCUUUCUUUCUUUCUUUCUUUCUUUCUUUCUUUCUUUCUUCUUUUCUUUCUUUUUUUAAGAUUUUAUUUAUUUAUUCAUGAGAGACACAGAGAGAAAGAGGGGGGUGGGGCAGAGACACAGGCAGAGGAAGGAGCAGGCUCCAUGCAGGGAGCCCAACGUGGGACUCAGUCUGGGGUCUCCAGGAUCAGGCCCUGGGCUGAAGGCAGUGCUAAACCGCUGAGCCACUGGGCUGCCCGGAAAGCACAUUUCAGAUAUAGAUCAGGGGCACUGUGUUUCUGUGUUUGAUGUCGUAGAAUUCUGUGAUAAAAGGGAGUUGUCAAAUAUCUUGACAGAAACUAUAAUGUAAUGUGACUCAAACUGCAGAGAUGUACUAUCAACCCAGACCCCGGUAUUCCUUAAGGGCAGAAGGUGUCUCUUGCCUAAUUCUUGACAUAUGGUGAUAUUUAAUAAAGAAUUGCUGAUCACCCAGUCAUUGUUGAUAUAUUACAUACAUUUCCAAUAGGGCUGUGUUCUAGUAUACCUAGAUAUUCACAGAGGCUCUGUUUUAGCAAUAAAACAUUUUAUACUUGCAAUAGCAGCAUCCUGGACUUGGUCGCUUACCCAAUACUCUAACUUGGUACAAAGUCUUAGAACUUUAAGAUAGUUUUUUAGGCUAGUGCCAUGUGCUUGAUUUUCUUCCAAAAGUUUGUGACAUUAUUUGUACAGGGAAAGCAGAGUGGAAUCUGGAGAAUCUCAAUUUAAUUUUUGUUAGAAGGCCGAAGUGGGCGAUAUCUAUGAUGUUAUGGCAUUGUUUUAAGUUUCAGACACUGUAUCAGGUUGAAUCUGUUGGUAAAAUGAACUUCUUUUUGGAUAGUUCAGAUUUUAUGAUUCCCUAACAUUUCCAGCUUUUCAACAUUUAUUUACAGCAGCAUUGGAUUCUAAUAGCAGAAUAUAGUUCAAUUAAAUGAACAUUAGCCAUUCUCCUGGGUGCUAUGGAACAGUCCUGUAGUAUACAAGAUGACAUCACUCCCCAGAAUCAUCUCUGAACCAUUCUCUUUGUCAGAUUUCUAACCUGAUCCCAUCAACAUAUGUUCAUCCUCCUUCACUCCCCCUCUCUACCCACACUAUUAGUAACAUGCAAAUGCACAGACUCUCCACUCAUACUCUCUUCAGUCCAGCCUUUGGGUGUUCAUAAAAAGGGUGGCAUUUUGGGCUCACAUUUACCUAAUUGUGAUGCAUGGAUCACUAGUAAUACAUAAUGAUUUUAGGUGGUAUGUGAAUAUCUUUUAAAAUUUUUUAUGUAAUCAUUUAUUUUAAGGUAAUUUUAUCAUGGUGAAUAAUACUAUUUUGACACUUAUAAUAGUGAAAUACAAUUUCCUUUUAAACUAUAUUCUUUUAAAAUGUAAAGAUGAGUUUGUUUAAAAAAUGAAAAUAAGUUUGUAUAAAGAAAAAUAUUAUGUUAUUUAAAAAUAUUCAUUAGUAAAAGGAUGUGAAACAAUUUAUAAGGGUAAUAUGCCAAUGAGUAGGGGCUAGAAACCAAUGUUCUAGGUAUAAUUAGAUAGAAUAAAUUUUAUUAUUUUAAGAGCAGGGACCAGAAUUUGUGUGUGUGUGUGUGUAUGUGUGUGGUAAGGAAAUACCUUUAGUUUAUGAAAAUGAGAGCCAAAGGAUUAGGGACCAACCACCAAGCAUAGGAGAGGAAUUUUUCUGCUUGCUCUGAAGACAGAAAAAUGAGUCAACAGAGGAGAGAGAAGGUUGGAGAAGAGAAAAGAUUCAGAGAAGAGAAGACUGAACAUUGCUUGGAAAACUGUGAACCAUCCAGUGGCAUAAGGCCUGUAAGGGACUCUGAGAGAAGUUAGGUUGCAGAUCUUUAUUUGUUGGUUUAACUGUGUAUGGUGUGUGUGAUGACCUCUCCCAGCCUCUCAUCCUUUAGUAAGAUUUUCUAGCUUGGCUAGGAAUUGAAAGUUGAAUGUUGAUGACAUAUAAGCUAUGAAUUUAAUGUGUAUCAUCCAUUUAAUUUUUUAAAAGAUUUUACUUAUUUAUUCAUGAGGGACACACACAGAGAGAGAGAGAGAGAGAGAGAGAGACAGAGAGAGAGGCAGAGACACAGGCAGAAGGAGAAGCAGGCUCCACGCAGGGAGCCCAAUUCAGGACUUGAUCCUGGGCCUCCAGGAUCAGGCCCUGGGCCGAAGGGGGCGCUAAACCACUGAGCCACCUGGGCUGCCCCAUCCAUUUAAUUUUUAGGCAGUCUUGUGAGGCACAAGCCAUUAUUAUGCCCACUUUACAGUGUGUGGUCACAAAGGCACAGAGGAUGAAGUAACCUGCUUGAGGUCACGUAACUGCACUGCCUCUACUAGACUACACAUAUUUUAUGUGGAUAUGUAUGUGUGCAUGAGUGUGUGUUAGUAACAUGGCUGACAUUCCUGUCUGGGUAAGUGUUUGGAAGGGAGAAUGCAUAUAUGAGAAUGAACACUUAAAAGGCACAGGAUGGCAGAAGAGUAUACAUGCCUGGAAAAACUUCAGAAAUCAGAGUGAAAGUUUUGAAAGCUCUAUGGGCUGUAAAAUUAAGAGACUCUGACUAAUUUUCCCCAGAUAUCAGGGGACAGAGAGGUCCUAGUUGACCUUUAGGGCUAAAUAAAAUGUCUAACAUUUAAGUAUUUUUUCAGGCCAUGCUGGCCACUUCAUUUUUUGUUUCUUUGUUUUCAAUUAAUUGGAUUUGCUAGUUAAGCUUGAUCCUGUGUUUUUGGCUGCAAGCAUCAGAAACUAACUUGCUAACAUUUUUAAAGGUAAUCUUGGGGAAGCCACAAUGUGCAUGGUCAAAUAAUUAAGGUAAAAAUGCUGUGGAGGACCAGACUUGCAAAUCAACAAGAAUUUUGGGAGUUUUCAUAGAGCUAGGAAGUGGAACAAUUGCCAACCACAGGAAGAAGUGGUCAGCACAUUUCUGCAUCAUGGAUAUCAUCCAACCGUUUCCUUUUUCCGUAUGUUACUCAAGAGUCAGAGUCCUGGGAGAUGACAUCUGAUUGGCCGAGCGAAGUCAUGGGAUCACUUGUUAUCCAGCUUUUAUAAUAGGUACCCCUCAAGAAGAUGACAUACAAUGGAGAAGAGUUAAGUUCUCCAAAGAAGUUGGUGCACUUUAGGAAGAGGGGAUGGAGACCGGGUACCUAAAAUAUGACCACCAUCUAAUCCCAUUUGUCUUGUACCAGUUGGAAUUAUAUAAAGUAUUUAAAUAAUAUUCCUCUGUGUGUAAAUACAAGUAAGUGAGGGUUCUUUCAUUUGUUUUAUGUGCAUUGAUCAAGCACCUAAACCAUGUACUGGGAAGAGUUAACAAAAAUGCCUGUUCUGAAGGAUCUCGUGACCUCGCUAGAAGACAAUCACAUAAAUAGAAUUUCAUACAGUGACAAAAGAACCCUAAUAGUGAGAUAUAUAAUGAACUAUAUUCACUGUGAACUAUAAAGUUGGACUAAAAAAAGAAAUACUAGGUGUUGAUUUUAGAAAUAUGAAAAGCACUGCAAAUAUCUUUCCCUUAAGGGUAUCCAUUGCAGAGAGCAGUCGAUGUAGGAUGGAUUGACUCAUGAUGAAAAGCCAGCCGUGAAUCAGGCCCUGGAUAGAGGCAAGUGCCUGACAGUCCUCUCCUUUGGUAAAUAGUGUCUCUCAAACUUAGCAAUCAAGCCAGCGGCUCUUUACA
rnacentral:lncRNA from 1 species